rnacentral:rRNA from 1 species
UACAGAGGGUGCAAGCGUUGUUCGGAAUUAUUGGGCGUAAAGCGCGUGUAGGCGGCUUUGCAAGUCGGGUGUGAAAGCCCUCAGCUCAACUGAGGAAGUGCGCCCGAAACUGCAGAGCUUGAGUGCCGGAGAGGGUGGCGGAAUUCCCCAAGUAGAGGUGAAAUUCGUAGAUAUUGGGAAGAACACCGGUGGCGAAGGCGGCUCACUGGCUCAUUUCUGACGCUCAGGCGCGACAGCGUGGGGAUCAAACAGG